GGGUGUCUAGCUGGAGCCUUCAUCCUGAUCCGUAGAAGAUUCUUCCUUUACGCAGUCGAGUCCCUGCAUGCCGGGUAGUUGUAGCCGAGUCACCGAGCAGGGUAGUCAUCCGGGUACGGGGACCCUACUCGGCAGGGAGGUACAUAGAUCUACCUCUGUCACCAAGUCCUUUCGUUUGUUGCUGCAAGAAGGCGUCGCUCAGCGGCACCAAGAGGAAGGUGGAGGAGCCGGCCGUGAAGGUCAGCUCGGCCCGAGUUGUUGAAGGUCACCUCCCGGACGGACAGCCCAGCCAGGUCUCGUGCCCGCUUGGACAAGGAGGCGGAUGAGGCCGGCGAGGAAGUCCUCGCACCAGAGACGGAUGCCGAGGGACCGGGCUCGGUCCCGGGCGCAGGGCGGGUGGAGGAGGAGGCUGCCUCUGUGAGGCAGCUUCCUAUCAUCGAGCCGGGGGAGACGCAGGCAGAGUCAUCGGUGCAGGCCGGGGCUCAGCAUGUGGUGGAGACAGCACAAGGCCAGGUCACCAGGGAUCGCCUACUGGCUACCGCCCAGUUGGCCCACGACUCGGUCGAGGUGAGUGCUUCGUCGCUUUUGGUGAUCCGACUUGUUUUCUUCCUUGCUUUGAGUGAUCUUGUUUUGUAAGCGGCCGAGAGGGUGGCCUGCGGGAAUGACUCGGCCGCCCGGGUGCUAGAGCUGGAAGCUCGCGCGGUGGAGCUGGAGAAGCAGGGCCGUGAGCUCGAGACCCGGCACACAGAGGCCGAGCGAGCAUUCACCUGGGAGAAGCAGAGCUGCAAAAGGCGAAGGUACACAACGUGCGUGACCUGGAGGCCUGCUCCAAGGCAAUGAGGAGCUGCACAAGCUUUGUGACGCUGCGGGGAGCCGGGAGGCGAACACGAAAAACAAGUUCCACCUGGAGCGGCAGAACCGCCAAGAGGUCGAGGCCCAGCUGAUCGAGGAGAGGGCGAAGCUUGAUUGCCUCACUGACCAGCUGGAUGCCUUGCUGGCGGCAAUCGAGCUGGAGGGCGUGGCCCUGGCGGAGAUGUUGGUGCGGAUGGUGGCGUCGCAGGGCCGACUGGAGGGCUUCGUGCAAAAGGUCGCCGGUGAUGCCAUCCAAUACACCAUGGGACUUGUGAAGUCCCACUUCCCGAAGGCCGACCUGGUGUCUGUUUGCGAUAGCAUCCCGCUCGAUUGCUCUGACGAAGACUGGGAGGCCAACCCGGCUGUCUUCGUGUGAGUUGUUGCUUGUUCGAUCCCGGUAACCCCGUUAGAGUGGCUUUAAUCGAGACUUUACUCGAGGAACUGUAGUGGUUUGUGUGAGUUGGAUCAGAGUUGCUUUGCAACGAUGGUUGGCGCACUCGAGUCAGUUUAUUUCGGGUGGUUCCACCACGAUAAUUAGCUAUGAUACUUGUUUACAUUCUUCCACAUGAACAAUUGCAAGACUCAUCAAUCAAAAGGAUCCUGUACAACCUUAUA